CAUAGGUCUGUGAAAUAUUAGAGGAAUUGACUAUCUUAUUAUAAAAUUAAGAACUGGUACUGAAUACUUGAAUGUGUUUGAUUUCCUCUUGCAUGACAGACGGCUUCCAUAAUGUGGCUCAGCCUCUCAUUCCAUCUGAGUCACGUGUGCAAUUAUCUAAGCACUCCUGAAGCUGCCCAUGGCCCCACACAACUCAUCAGAACUUCAUGUGGAAUAGCAGGGAGUAGAUACACCAUCUCAUCUGAACGAGUGAAAAACAGGCAAAAUCUAUGAAACAACACUCAAGGGAGAAGAAAC